ensembl:snRNA U6 U6 spliceosomal RNA
UUGCUCGCUUCGGCAGCACAGAUACUGAAAUUGGACCAAUACAGAGAUUAGCAUGUCCCCUGAGCAAGUAUGAGACGCACAUUCAUGAAGCAUUCCCUUUAAAA